rnacentral:misc_RNA from 1 species
GCGAACUUUUGAAGGAUCUCGCUCUCUCUGGCUUCCAGAACAUCGACGUCAUCGACAUGGAUACGAUCGAGGUCUCCAAUCUUAACCGCCAGUUCCUUUUCAGGCUUCAAGAUGUUGGUAAGCCGAAGGCAGAAGUAGCUGCAAAGCGCGUUAUGGAAAGAGUCAGCGGGGUGAACAUUGUACCUCAUUUCUGCAGGAUUGAAG